rnacentral:rRNA from 1 species
AACGUAGGAGGCGAGCGUUAUCCGAAUUUACUGGGCGUAAAGGGCGCGUAGGCGGUCCUUCAAGUCAGGCGUGAAAGCCCCGGGCUCAACCUGGGAACCGCGCUUGAGACUGGCGGACUCGAGUUCGGGAGAGGAUGGUGGAAUUCCCAGUGUAGAGGUGAAAUUCGUAGAUAUUGGGAAGAACACCGAUGGCGAAGGCAGCCAUCUGGACCGACACUGACGCUGAGGCGCGAAAGCGUGGGGAGCAAACAGG